UGUUACCUACUUCUCCAUAAUUUGCACAAAUUUUUGCUGCGGAAUUAAUGGUGAAAAUCAUGGAAAUACAUUGAAUGUAUUAGUAUAUAUUUAUUUCUGACCAAUAUUGUAACCCAUUGGACUUACCAACUUUUUGACAGUCUGUUUUCCUAUGUCCUAAGUGUUGUUAUGGUAUAUUUUAAAAUACAGGAAAAUAAUUAUCAUGCACUGCCAUACAAUACAAUUAUAAUGAAUAGUGGCAAAUACUUCACAGCUAAGGGAAUAGUUUUGCAUAUUGCAAUAAACUAAUUUUGUAAAGAAUAAAACCUGAAAAUUUUUAUUUUUUUAUGUUAAUUUAACUGCCGGCACACUUUAUAUUAACUGUACUGUAAAAUGGGAAGGGGUAGAGAUAAUUGAUCUGAAGGCUUAUUUUUCUAACAAAUCAAACACAAAUUUAGGUAUAAGACAUUUUAGAAAUUCAUUAUUGGAUUUAUGACUUUGUGUAAGAGGUACGUUUUAGGUAUAGCAAGUAUAGUUUUUAAGAUUUAACUUAUAAAUUUAUUAGAAAUUUUUGACAAGUUAAUAUUAAUAUAUUUUUUAUUUUAAAAUUUCCUUCCAAAAUUCAAGUAUUUGAAAAGCCCGCCAAGUGCGCGGUUGCUCGAUGUAGUUACAAAAACAUCCGCUAGAAUGCGCCCACGAUGGCGAAUGUUCCAAAAACUUCGGAUGAGGGUUCAGAGGUGGCAGCACGUUCUCGAUGUUGAGCAAGGACAAUAAAAUAACAUUGAGUUACCGCUCUUUAUCCUUGUAUGCUCCUUGUGCGGGGCCGUCCUACACAGGGUGUCCACAAGGAAAAAAUAUUUCGUACCAACCUAUUGACCUUGCACCUACUCUAUAGGGCAAUUUGCAGACGUCAUUUUAGUUAGUACAACAACCGCAGCAAUCUCUCUUGGCGCUAGCUGCGCUGUAAAUUGUUUUUUGUAUCGUUGUAAUGGUGUCGUUGUGUCUGUCGGUGAAGUAUUUUUUCGUUUGUAGUUCUGUCAAUAUUUUUGACAUUGACCUUUUAUAAAUUACGACAUAAUGCCGUAUAGAAAUAAUUGUUGUGUGCCUGGAUGCCUGGACAAAACGUCUACGAGACAUCGGAUACCUGUGACAGACACAGCUAGAUUCACUAAAUGGAAACUAGUGAUCCAAAAUUCGAAAUUUGACUAUUUAUCGGACGAAGUAAUAAGAAAGAACUACACAAUAUGUAGUAAUCAUUUUCGGACAGAAUAUUUUAGUCCGGGAACCAAGCAUCUGAAUCCCGAUGCCGUACCUUCACAAAACCUACCAGCUCAAAAUACUCUCGGAAGAAACAUUAGCAAGGAAUCAGCAGUAUCACCUAUACAUGGAAUACAGACAACCUGUAGUCCAUUGUUAUUCAUGAAUGUCUUAGAAUCUGCUUCCACUGAACAGCAUCAUCAACCACCUGAAGAAUCUACUGUAGUAACAGCUCAUAAAUUAUUUUGUUACUGACGUCGUCCGGCCGGAGGCCGUCUUCAAGCCCGACUUGCGACCGCCCGUACUUAGUCCCGCUAACGAAGCGUGCCCCUAGCCACCCGGUCGGAGUCAAGUGAGCUUCCCGCCACCCCGUACCACAAAGGCCCAAAACUGAGGAAGUUAAAUUUUCAAUGUGGUCGUCGGCCACUGCUUGGAGCUCUGGGUGUCCACAGUUCCGUGAAUUUGACUCCAAAAGCCAAGAAAUUGUAUUUAGAUGCAAGAUAUAAGAUAUUACAGGAGUAUUGCUACUUACCACAAAAAAAACACCUCAUUCAAGAGAAGACUGAAGUCUGCAAGUAAGUUGGCAGAUGAAAAAAUUUUCAAUCAAUUAAAAGUGAUUUCUAUUGCAAAGAGAUUUAUUGCAUCACAACUUGAGAUGUCCAGACACAAACCGAAGGGGAGGAGGAGAUUCACUUUGCAAAAUAAGGUGUUGGCACUGUCUCUCUUUAAACAGGCCCCUAAAGGAUACAAGUUACUGUCGUGUAGUCUCCAUCAAGAAGUGUUCUUACAGGUAUGCUUCGGAAAAUUCCUUUUCAACCAGGCAUAAACAAUGUUGUGUUUGAUCAUCUAAAGAAAUCUGUCCAGAAACUUAAGCCACGAGAUAGAAUUUGUGUUUUGAUGUUCGAUGAGAUGAGUUUAUCACCUAACAUUCAAUGGAAUGAGUCAAGUGAUAUUAUUAUUGGUCACUAUUUAUCAAUUGUAUAUAAUUAUCAAUAAUGAUCUUAUAGUUAUUUUGAAAUGUUUUGUUUUUUAUUGUUUGUAUGUUCAUGCUAAUUUUUCGCUAAAAGUUGUACAUAUAGGUACUUGAAGUGAUUUUGUUGUUAAGCACCUAAUGUCACAUAACAUGCAGCAUGAAUUUUUUGUAUUGAAUUGUUGUAGAUGUUUGCCAUGUACCGUGCUUUUGAUAUAGGCUAUCAAAGAUGCCAACAUAAAAUACUUUUGACCACUUCAAUGUAAAAAUGUUUUCUACAUUUUUUACAUCUUGCUAUAUUUUUGUGUAUGCAUAUUGCACUAACUUGCACAUGUGAAAGCAAAUAAGCAAGUAUAAGAAGUACAAUAUAAUAAUUGCACAUAACGAGUUAUUACUGUUAAGUAACUGAUGUACUGUAAACUAUUUUCUCUUUUUUUGUGUGCAGCAAAUAAAUGACCUUGAAUGUAACACACAUUUUUUUUUUUUUUUAAUGUAAUACCCUACCCAAUCAUUUUAACAGUAGUUAUUUUUGUGUGUGCAAGGUGUUCUUAUGUUGCAAGAUAAGGAGUUUUCAGGAAAAUGGUGAUGGUAGAUGAAGGGAAGGAGAGAGGAUAGAUAAGACAUCCUGCCACAGGGUGGUAGCCCAACUCCAGGUGUACAGAUUAUUAGUAUUAUCUGGGAAUACUUUUCUGUCCUUGUGUAAGAGUGAAACUAGAGGUGCAAAAAAAUAUUUUGUACAGUUGAUGAAACGUUACUAUUUUAGUGUGAAACUCUUUGUGUCAUUGUAUCUGCAACACUUGCAGAAUAAAAACUUAUGUCUACUUAUUUGCAUCAUUAGACUUCAGGAAAUUGCUUCAAUUCCUUUUCUUUCCAUAAAAAAUACUAAUGCAACAUAAUUCUUUAAAUUAAAUGCAUUAUUUUAAGCUUCUAACACAACCUGCAACAAAAAUAAUUUUAUAAUUACCUCAUGUAUGCUCUGGAAAUGCCAAACGUAUGUUCAUUAGGUUCGUUUCUUUGCUUAUGCUACUUUCAAUUUAAAUGGGACUUGUGAUCUCCCCUGCAGAGACAGAUAUGUGAAAGUAAGGAGCGCACAACCACGUCAAUGUUACUACAUAAAACUGGUUACGUUUGUUCAUUUAGACUAUACAUAUUAUGAAAAGCAAAUUAUUAAUUUAAAACUAUAAUGUUACUUUAUUAUGGUUUUACAUUAUAAAACUUUACAUUUGGAAUGGUCUUUAUGGCAGUAAUAGUAACUCCUAAAAUGGAUUACAAAUUGUUAGUAUACAUGAAACAAGAUAUGUAAAUAUUCUUUUUUGACAGUCUGUACUUGCAGAGAAAUUAAUUCUACAGUAAUAAUACUCUCGUCAUACUAUAUGCAUCUACUUAACUUCAUGGAGCUGAAUGUUAUCAAAAGGCUGUGACUACAAAAAUACACAUAAUAAGUAAGUAAAUGUGAGUACUAGCAUUGAAUAUGUAUAUAUUGUCGCGGUUUGAAAUUUUGCAGGGUUGUUGAAAUCAAAUUUAGGGACUUUACUGACGGGACUCUGGGCUGGCUGCUCUGUUCACUCGUCAGCGCAAGUGGCGUGACCAUGUAAUUGGGGCACGGGGCCGGCGCGGCGCGCUGCGGGCUUGCAGAUUUUUGUUUGUUUGUCCGGCCGCGCGCGAGCGCAGCCACGGGCCGCAGUUACUGGGGCGCGCUGUCGUAACAAGCCGCGCGGUGUGGCCUGCACGUCGGGGUAGAGGGGGGUAGCCUUCCCAGAUGUUCUAGUUAGUUGUUUAGUAAAUUUGGCUUCAAUAACGAGCGGUUGUUAUAGUAGGCGCGGCAGGGCGCGCAAAUUUAAGCGCAAGUGAGUGGUAGCUCGGGGCUCACUCAGGCGGAGGCUAUGCGUCUCACCUGUGGCCACGAGUUGUUUAGUUAGUUCGUUCGUGAUGUAGGAAUUCAGGCUCACUCUGGCGGAAGCUAUGGCCGACGCCAGAGGCAACGAGUAGUUUAGUUCGUAAUGUAGUUUAAGUUCAGAUCGUCAUGUAAUCGUCUUCAAGCACUCGGGUGGAGGCUAUGGCCCUCGUCAGGGGUCACUAGUCAGAGUUUUUAAGAAUGUAAUGUUCGUUCGAGGUUUUAAGGGCAGGAGAGGCCCCUACGUUAGUUUUUAAAGUAAUCAAUCAAGAGGUGCUUAUUGGAAAAUGUGAGUAUUGCUUGAUCUUUGUCUUGAUUUUAAUUAUAAGUUAAGAUGUACUUGUAAGGAUUAGAGAAGUGUUUAGUGAAGUUCUCUCUUUCUCUCUUGUAAGGUCGUUCAAUAGUUAAGGAAGUAAUGAAGAGAUUAUUGUUUUAAAUUGUAAUCCCGCUAUUUAAAUGUUCUUUAAAAUGAUGUUGAUUAUUUGACGUUAAGAAUAAAAUAAUUUUAAUUUAGUAUUAUGUUAUUUUGCAAAAUCUCCUUAGUUCAGCUCUCACCAGACAUCCUGUACGGGAUGACGAACCUAUGAUCCUAGGUACAGUAAAGUAUUUUAUGAAGUUAAAACUAGUUGAAGCCAGCAAGCGAGUUGUUUCUAUGUAAAGAGCUACGAUUCUUUUCCCCCCAACAUUUGGAUAUUUACGAUUUAUUCUUACUUACGAUCCUUAUCUUCCUUGUUUUUUUUUUUCCAUUUAACAUAUGGUGGUGGCUCCGGCUAGGUGCGACGUAACAUAUGGUGGAGUUCGCCGGAUAGGUUCUAUUUCUGGAGAGAGAGGGAGAUUUUUAUGUUUAUUAUUAAGUUAGUUUCAGCUUCUGAUAGCAGGUUAAUAAGAGUUUACUUGAGGAGAGGAAUACGGAUUUAAUCUAAGUGGAGGAAGUCUUUGAGAUUUUUUUUUGACGUAACAGAUGUGUAUUUGAGGAUACUUGUAAGGAUAAAGUUUAUAGUGAUAAGUGGUUUUAAGUCGUUGAGUUUAUUGAAGAUUUAUCAGGGAUUAUUACGUGAGGAGAAUACGUUAUAAUUUAAAUGCUUAUUAGAGAUAAUGCAAGUGGUGUAAUUUAAUUGAGAUUAAUUUUAAUAUUGUAGGUUAAGAGAAUUAUAAUUUAAAAUAAAGUUUUUUUCGUAAAUAGGAUUUAUUUUCAAGAGAAGUUUGUUUUGUUGUCGUGCGCGUAGGAGACGAGACGUACGAAUUAAAUCAGUCAAAGGGAAAGAUAAACGUUAGAAAGGAAUUAAAAGAAAAUGAAAGUUUAUUUAAAAGAGAGUUAAAGAAUUUAUAGUGAUGUUUUGUUUUAAUAAGAAAAAUGUUGAGGGUUGUUUCAGAACGACACGUCAGUGGACGUGGCAGAGUGAACACGUGACGGGGAGGAGCUGAGACCUAGCGGAGAACGGAGGAACCGACAAGCGAGGGUUGGCGCACCUGGCGGAAUUCGGUGACGUCACAGGCUUGUACGGAGAACAGAGACGUGGACAGGCGACCUUGUUUUGAUCAGCUGUACGGUAACUUAGCGAUAAGAAAAUAGACUAUUGGUUAAAUAAAUUUAAAUUUAAGUGUGUUUUAAGAGAAGAGGAACUUUCAGUAUGUAAGUAAUUUAUUUUAAGAAGGGUAUGAUGUAUAGGCUAGAAGUGUUUCGUUGUAAGUUGUUUAUGUUUUUGUUAGUUAAAUUCUACCUUUGUUUUAAAAAUAAUUUUUGGGAUUUGUAAACAGUUAUUAAGGAAGUACACUAUAAAAUCGAUAAGCAUUGAGAAAAGUGGGAAGGAUAGUUUUUGUGUGUAGAGGGAAUUUACUCCAAGGGAACAGAGAGACAAAAUUAAUGUUUUCAUUAGGGCGAGGGACCCUAAUGUGAGGUGUUGUGUCCCUGGGAAGUAGGGAUUGUAGCGCAGACCCAUAGGAGAUGGGCUGACUACUGAAUUAAGGGUCAGGAGAACCCUGAGAGUUGUUAGUAGUAAGGGGCAGGAGAUCCCCAUGGUAGUACCGAAGUGGCUAUCCUGUAUGUUGGUGGGGUUAGAGUCCCCUGUUGUGUAGUGGGCCUAUAGCAGAUAGGCACUACAGCGAAAUUUUUGGUUAUUUUGUGAGGUAAAUUCCCUGGGUUAAGUUAGAGAAUGUGUUAAAAGUUAGGAAGAAGGGAAAUGAGAAACAUUGAUGAAGAGAGUUAGUGUACUUGCCUAAGUUUCAAAUUGAAUUUUAAAUUAAUUUAGGAGAAAGUUUUGUUCGGUAAAUAAAUAAUAAUGGAAGGGAAUUAAUUAAGUUUUUUUGAGUAAGGUGUUAUAAGUAAUGAAAUAAAAUAAUGUGAAAUAAGUUGAAUAAUUGGGGAGGAGUUUCUUUAAGAGUUUAGAUAAUUGUUUUUGAAUUUAUUGAGAUAUUCAGCCAGGGGAGUUUGAGUGUGAGUGAUACAGUGAGAUUUUAAGGAAAUCGGUUGUUUAUUAAUUAGGACGAAUGAGAUUUUAUGAUUAAGAGUCAGUAAACAUAGUUAAAUUUAUGACAUGAUAUUUGUUGACAGUUUACAGUUAUUAAGGAGAAAACAGAGUAAUCUAUUUUUUUUUUAUUGUUUGAAGAUAAGAUUAUGAUUUUUUUUUUAAGUUUCUUUGGCAUGUUUGAAUAAUUUUUUUUUAUUUUUAAGAAAUUACAGAGAAAAUUUAAUUGAUUUACAUUAUUUUGGAAUUUUGGAGGUUUAAUGUUCGAUUAGCCCUAACUUGAUGGUCGGAUCCCAAAAGAAUGCCGUAAAACCGAUAGUCAUUUGAGAGGAAUGCGGUAGGCGCUUGAGUAGAGAGGGGUUGUGGGAAAACUCCUUGGGACUGAUGGCAGAUCAGGGGCCCUAAAUAGUGUGUGAUGCUGUAAAACCAGUGCGGGGAUAGCCUGGUAUGCUUAAAUUUUUGGGCACAGGUUAUGUAAACCUGGGGUUCCAUGGGAUUUAGUCAUGUUAGCUGCUGUGGGACAUUAAGAUUUCCAGGCUCCAUAGUAAAUUCAAUGUAAAUUUUUGUUUUCUUAAAAUAAUAAAUUUGUUUUUAAUUUGUUUUUUUAGAAAUUUGAUUUGUAACAGUGAAUACAGAACCCGAGGAAUAAGAGUUGUCAUGCUGUGAGAGGAGAAAGUGGUAGCCCUAAAAGGUUACAGGCACCACAGAGGUUAUUUGUAUUGCAUAAUUUAAAUAUGAGGAAGCUUGAGAAAUUUGAAAUUUUGUUGUUGGGUUGGAUACCCAUAAGAAGAGUAUAGGCAGAAUUUUUAUUGUUAUGAGAUGUCUAAUUUAAUGGAAAAGAAAAAGAAGAAAGUUUAAAGAUGCAAAGUAUCAUUAUGGUUAUUGUAAUAAUUGAAAGAGAUUAAGAGGUAAGAGGUAGAGAGAAAUAGGCAGUUUUUGUUUGUAAGUACUAAAGUUUACAUAUAGAAAUUAAGUAACUAAGAACCAUUAUGAGUUAAGUCUAGAGUAAAAGUUAGUUUAUUUUGUUAAGUUAAGAGUCAUAAGUAAAUUUUUUUGAGAGAGAAUGUCUUUGAUAGGAAGUAUUAGAAACUUAUGGGAAUUUUAGGGUAACAUAAAUAAUGUAUGUAAUAAAUAAUAAAUAGAGGGUAGGUCUUAAGUUAAGAUUAACAUUUAAAGCAGAUAUUUUUACUUAGAAGAAGGAAAAUAAGUAGGCCUAAAUAAAAAAAAAAGAGUAUUUUAUGGUAAAGAAAUUUUUUAAAAUAAUAAACAAUAAAUAAUAAUGUUGUUUCAGGGUAAUGUGUACUAAUAACACAAUUUUUUUUAGGACCAAAGAACAGGAAUUAUGUAACCUAAAUUAACAUGUAUUUGAAACUGUUACAGAUCCCUUAAGAUGAGCUGAGCAACAGUACAGUUUACCAGAUUGCAAGAGUUCGAGAGACAAGAUACAAGAUCACAGAAACAAGAACCAAGACUGAAGAUUCAAGAGAAGAGAAAGCUGGCAGCCAUGGACUUACAAGUGAAGAUUUAUAAGGUCAUGUAAAAUUUUAUUUUUUAUGGAAGACAGUAACGAGUUUUUUUUUUGUGAUAAACAUUCUUUAUAGAACUUUUUAGGUUAUAGUAAUGUAAUGGAACUAGUGAGUUGUGAUAGCUGUCAAAGAGAACUAAUACCUUAAGUUUAAUUUUAAAGUUAAUUUUCUUUAUUUACAAAGGGGUUAGGAGUUUAUAUUAAACAUUGUUUAGUUGGGAAUUUUAACAAUUUUAGUUCACAGUUCGGAUAGGUAGAUAAUCUUAUUGAUUUUGAUGAUUUGUUUUUUUUGUUGAUUUUAAGUGUUGUGGAUUAAACAAUGAAAUAGUUCUGAAAACUUAAAUUAUUUCAAGCUAAGAAAUAGUAAAUUUAAUUGUAACUCGAAGGACACCAGAAUUAAAAAUUUUUUUGAAUUAGUAAUGUUUGAAAAUUUUAUACUUUACAAGAAAGGUUAUAAACAAACUGAUCGGAUGGAACAAGGAUGCAGUAAAUCACAGUUUCAGUUAGAAUUAUUGAUUUGCUUUUGAGGUUCUGAAGGAAAAGUAUCUAUAAUUUAAAAGUUUGAAUAAAAAUAGUUUUUUUUAUUGGUUUGAAUAAAAAAAAAACAUUUAAAAGUUAAGUAGUCAUGAUCUAGGUGGGUGAUGGGGUGGGAAUUGGCCACUCUCUUUUUUCCUAUAACCUCCCUAACAUGGCCUUCUAUUACAACUAACAGAAAAAAAGAAGAAGAAAAAGAAUACUUAUUAUUAGUUAGAAUGUUUUUUCAUGAAGAUACCUGAUGAACUUUUUUUUAUUGUUUGGAAGAAUAGUAGCAAGGUUAUUCAGAUGUUUUACUUGGAGGAAGAAGAAGAAGAUAAAGCUGUUUUAUUGCUCGACAAGCCAGAGAUUGGUGUUUCCCCUCUGAGCUUCUAUUGACUUCGUGUUUUACUCUCAUGGGAUAGCUGGUUCGGCACCAUGGAGAGAGAUUGGUGGGCAUUGUGGUUGCCCCCAGAAGAAGAGUAGAAGAGGUUAUGGGUGGGUCAUGUGAAGUGACCUUCAACCCAGUUACUUUGUGGGGACUAUUUGAUGCUGUCUAGAGAAGAUCAAGAGUCAAGAGUUAGGGAAAAUCAUUGGAGGUCCUGUUUCCCUUCCUUAAGUUUUCCUAUGAAAUUAUUUUCCUGAUUAGAUUAUGCUAAGGGUGGGAUACUUUAUGUUAGCAGUUGAAUUAAUUAAUUUUAUUUUUUUUGUGUGUUUGCAUCCUUACCCAUCGAUUGCAGUUUUGUUGUUAGUUUUGUAGUUGUAAGGCGUGAUGGUAAUGCCUGUUGAUGAUGUUUCAGAAUUGUAAUCUGUUCGAGAUGAGGAUGGCACAACUCCGAAGCAGAUGUGGGGAGAAGAUGUGAGCUGCCCUGGAAGCCAGUCCAGUAGUGGUUGGAGUUGAGUGGUGUUUGCUGAUGGCCAGCCCAGGGAGCUACUCUUCUCGACAACACUGACUUCGAGGAGUUGCACCAACCUUCACGAGAUAAGAGUUUAAUUACUUUGAAACACUGAUAAUUUUGUAAGGACACUUAAUUUUUUUGAAGAACGAAAGAAGUAUUGUGAUGAACGGAAACUGGGAAAAAAAAUUAAUAAUUAUUAGUGGUGCACCGAUGCGGAUACCGAUGAAUCGUAAUCGGCGAUUAUGGGUACUUACCGAUUAAUCGUAAUCGGCGAUUAUCUUAACGAUUACUUUGCCGAUUAUUUACGUCCCGGCGUAAUUAAGUAGGUUUUUACCGUGUAAUAUUUUGUUACACAUUUUAGGACAAAAUACGGUAAUAUCUGUAUAUAUUACAAAAUUCAUCUAACUGCAUCAUAUCAUAAUUACAGAUAUUUCGUUACGUUUAAUAAAUCUCAUUGCCUCAAACAAUAAAAAAUGCAUUUUUCCUACACGUUUAUUUACGUUUCGUCUUUUGUUUAUUGGCCUUGUACAUUACGUAUAGCCAGAGAAGUAAAAUAGAUGGCACGCAAUCAAAAUACCACAAACAGUUGCAGUGGAUUCUAUGACAAUCGAUCUUUUCGAGUCGUAGUAGCGGUUCAAAAUCGUGGUCCCGAUACCUUCUAGUUUUUAUCACUGCGUUUUACAAACUCGUUAUGGGCGUCUUUGGUAACAUUAUCCGUUUUUUAUUUGUAUGUGACGUGAAAAGUGAAAAAGAACUUAUAAUUUUAUAUAUUCAGUCAACAUAAAUAAAAUCACAUGUGCUAGAGUUGGUUUUUAGUCAUUUUUAUAUAAUUAUAGUGAGAUGGCGAGUAGAGAGAAAAAAAGUGAAGUGUGGAAACAUUUUUCUAUAAACUCAAGUGAACAAAAUAAAGCAGCAUGUUUACAUUGUUAAACGGUAAUUUCUUGAUGCAACCUUAUGUGAUAGUCGAUAAUAAUGCUAGUUUUCCGCAACAAAAACUUAGCCAUUGUAAAUUACAAUUAUUAGACUGUAGUUCAAGUUGUUUACAAUAACAAAUAUUUAAAUAGAAGUUAAUUUAAUUUCUCCUUUCAAUGACUUAAUAGUGUAUUUUAUAUAUUUUUAUACUGUUGUUAUAACUGUAUUCCCAAUUUUACCUAAUCUUGUUAUUAAAUUCACAUGGGAAUAAAAAAAUUUGUGUGCAUUAUUACACUUAAAAAAAUUUCUUCAUUAUAAUCGGUAACUGAAUCGGUAUCUGCCGAUUAUUGCUCUCAUAAUCGGUAAUCGAAUCGGUAAUCGGUAAAGUCAUAUCGGUGCACCACUAAUAAUUAUCAAGAAUUUGCACAUUGUUUAAUGAAUACUGAGAAACUAAGUAGAUUAAUUUAAUUUGUAAAGAGAGCUUCACUAACAAACAAUUUUUUUUGAAUUGAGAACUCGAGCCUCUGAAGGUCCCUGUGAGACAUAACCAGAUAAAAGUUUUACAUUAUUAGUUUAAUGAAUAAUUGUUUUAAAUGAUCUUGUGCAGAAUCUAGAUAUAUGUUCAGACAGUAAGGAACUAAGAAAAUUAUUAUUUUUGUGAAAUAAGGAAUUUAUAGUUAUGGUUUAAUGGAAAAGGACAAUUUGUAAUUUUGAGGUAGCUCGAUGGGGCUCGAGCUCUGUGAGGGGAGGGUUAUGUCACGGUUUGAAAUUUUGCAGGGUUGUUGAAAUCAAAUUUAGAGACUUUACUGACGGGACUCUGGGCUGGCUGCUCUGUUCACUCGUCAGCGCAAGUGGCGUGACCAUGUAAUUGGGGCACGGGGCCGGCGCGGCGCGCUGCGGGCUUGCAGAUUUUUGUUUGUUUGUCCGGCCGCGCGCGAGCGCAGCCACGGGCCGCAGUUACUGGGGCGCGCUGUCGUAACAAGCCGCGCGGUGUGGCCUGCACGUCGGGGUAGAGGGGGGUAGCCUUCCCAGAUGUUCUAGUUAGUUGUUUAGUAAAUUUGGCUUCAAUAACGAGCGGUUGUUAUAGUAGGCGCAGCAGGGCGCGCGAAUUUAAGCGCAAGUGAGUGGUAGCUCGGAGCUCACUCAGGCGGAGGCUAUGCGUCUCACCUGUGGCCACGAGUUGUUUAGUUAGUUCGUUCGUGAUGUAGGAAUUCAGGCUCACUCUGGCGGAAGCUAUGGCCGACGCCAGAGGCAACGAGUAGUUUAGUUCGUAAUGUAGUUUAAGUUUAGAUCGUCAUGUAAUCGUCUUCAAGCACUCGGGUGGAGGCUAUGGCCCUCGUCAGGGGUCACUAGUCAGAGUUUUUAAGAAUGUAAUGUUCGUUCGAGGUUUUAAGGGCAGGAAAGGCCCCUACGUUAGUUUUUAAAGUAAUCAAUCAAGAGGUGCUUAUUGGAAAAUGUGAGUAUUGCUUGAUCUUUGUCUUGAUUUUAAUUAUAAGUUAAGAUGUACUCGUAAGGAUUAGAGAAGUGUUUAGUGAAGUUCUCUCUUUCUCUCUUGUAAGGUCGUUCAAUAGUUAAGGAAGUAAUGAAGAGAUUAUUGUUUUAAAUUGUAAUCCCGCUAUUUAAAUGUUCUUUAAAAUGAUGUUGAUUAUUUGACGUUAAGAAUAAAAUAAUUUUAAUUUAGUAUUAUGUUAUUUUGCAAAAUCUCCUUAGUUCAGCUCUCAUCAGACAUCCUGUACGGGAUGACGAACCUAUGAUCCUAGGUACAGUAAAGUAUUUUAUGAAGUUAAGACUAGUUGAAGCCAGCAAGCGAGUGGUUUCUAUGUAAAGAGCUACGAUUCUUUUCCCCCCAACAUUUGGAUAUUUACGAUUUAUUCUUACUUACGAUCCUUAUCUUCCUUGUUUUUUUUUUCCAUUUAACAUAUGGUGGUGGCUCCGGCUAGGUGCGACGUUACAAUAUAAUGUAUAGAAGUCGCGAGCCCAGGUUAAAUUUUCUGUCCGGUUUCGCAGAAGAAUUGUUGUAGUAGGAAGCUCCGUCGCAGCGAUCGCUUCAAUCGCUGGGUAUCGACAGCGCACGCCUCUAGCUGUCUUGGGACCUACUACGUUAACCAGCUAGUCAUGCCACCUCCCUUCUCCCUCCCACAUACGGGAAGCUGGUAUCAGCACCACUCAGCGACCUUGACGAUAAGUAUUCUUUACCACUGCCUUUGAGAGCCACGAAACCCCGUGAGAAGACGGAGGGAUUGUGUACCCUAGUAACGUGAAAAUUAGCUCCUAAUAACUUUGUAUCAGGCCUACAGCCAGUGUUGAGUUUAAAAUAUAUGAUUCAAUUUAAAAGUGCAUUAGUAUUUCUUCUGUUUAUUACUUUAUAAUAUUAAGAUGUUAGUAGUUUAAUGAUCGCUGUCAAAAAACGUCAUGUGAAAAAUUUUGCUGUUAUUUACCAGAGAACAUACUUUGUAAGUGAAUUAGUGUAAGAAAAACAUAAGUUCGAACUUUUGUUUUAUACAAAAAUAAAAACAAAAACGUGGUAAAAAUUGGUCCACACAACCACCUCAGUACGUUUCUAAGUAGAUAAAACUGUUUAAAAUGCAUUGAAUUCUACCAUUAUUACCUAAGUUAUGAACAAUUUAAAUUCCAAAAUAUUUUAUUAUGCAUCCAGAAAAAAAUUAACCUGGAAGACACUUAUAUUGAGAUUCUAAAAAUUAGGUACUCAUUUAAACAUGAGGUGUUAGACUUCUAGCCCAGUCAAAGUAUAUUCUGUGCUUAAAUUCAAUCCGAUGUUUAUGAUUUUGUGUUUCAAUUGUUCAGUGGUCUGCACGGAAUGUCACAUCAACAGUCAUGAUAAAUAGGAAAUGAUAAUGUAAUUGACAUAUUUUGGGCAAAUAGAUGAAUCGGUACCACUUGUCGGCUAUAUGACUGUGUAGUAAGAAUCCACCAUUAAGAACAAAGUCAGCGUUCUCCAAGUCCAAAUUCUCCCUUGUCAACGAAAAGAUGUACAGGGUUGCUUUCUUGGUUUUGCGUAUCCCAGCUUCGUCAAAGAGAGCUAAAUGAAAUGGAGCCAACUCAUACAGCAUAUACAUGAUCAAGUCAUCCUAUUUUUCUUCACUUCAUCGUUAUCCUCUGGAAAACUAACAAAUGAUAAAUGAGCUAUUACAAUUGAAAGUAAUAGUGUAGCUAAUAUUCGCCAGAGGGAGAGCUUGAUCUUUUCGUGACAAUGCUUAAUUAGAAUUUUUCCAACAUUACUCUGUAUUGAUUGCUUGCCAAUUACUAUAGCAUUGAAAAAGGUAACUGUGGCAUCCCCUACUAGUCCAGGUGCUAUAGACAUGAUUUGUUGUGAUCCAGGAAAUGGUGGGUGAUUAUUUAACUAAGCAGAGAUGUUAUAUUAAUCUGUGGCAUCCCUACUUCUUCCAGAUUGUCAGAAAUCAAGUUGUUCAAAGAUAUAAAAUGUGUACCGCAUAACUCUUCAAUGAUGAGCAGAUGCAGUUGCAGUCAUCCCCAAGGUCCACUCGCUCAAGAACUUAUCAGUGAAUCCUCAUUUAAUUCUGGGGUCAUUAUAGACUCUAGCUUAAACAUGUCUUGUAAAGUCAAGUGACAGCAUUUGGCAUACGAGAGGCACGGUUCACAAAUAUAUAGGUCAGUUGCUAUAGGAAAAAUGUUUGAGAUAAAAUAAAAUAAAAACUCAUUUUUUAAGCGAGACUAUCUCAAACAAAAUUGGAGAUAUGA